GCUCCGGCUCCGGCUCCGGCUCCGCUGCGGCGCCGCCGCUUUUAUCGCGGCCGGGCGGGGCCGCGCGGGGCGUCACGGAGCGCGGAAUCCCGGCCCGCGGCGGGGGGGCCCCGCGUGGGAGCGCGGCGGGAGUAACGUCUGGAUCUGUCCUUGGUGGCAAUAGCUCGUGGCUGUUGGAGCUGUCACUUUUCUCAUCUUCAGCACUUCAGCCGAGGCCGAUUCUCAUUCAGCCGGCAGUGUCCCCUGCCCUUGUUCCCCAUGUCCUUGGCCAGGACACCUGAGCACAAACGGAUCUGUCCCAGCUCCCUGAGCCUCUCCUGCCUGUUGACUUUAUCCUUGUCCGCUCCUGGGGUGUUGUGUUGUGAUAGGAAACUCCUGACCUGGAGAAGAGCCUGCAGGGGUAAUGGGGACCGUGGCCCUUAGCUCAGCUCAGCACUGCAGCAGCACAUAUGGCUGGAGUAUUUACAUAAUGCCAAGUUAUCCUGUGAAAUAUGAAGCAAUUAAUUUUGAUUAGUGAAGUGGGUCAAUAAAAUACAAAGGUUUUCAGCCCA